rnacentral:rRNA from 1 species
CCUACGGGAGGCAGCAGUGGGGAAUAUUGCACAAUGGGGGAAACCCUGAUGCAGCGACGCCGCGUGAGUGAGGAAGUAUUUCGGUAUGUAAAGCUCUAUCAGCAGGGAAGAAAAUGACAGUACCUGACUAAGAAGCCCCGGCUAACUACGUGCCAGCAGCCGCGGUAAUACGUAGGGGGCAAGCGUUAUCCGGAUUUACUGGGUGUAAAGGGAGCGUAGACGGUUAAUCAAGUCAGAAGUGAAAACGCAGGGCUCAACUUGGGGACUGCUUUGGAAACUGAGUAGCUAGAGUGCAGGAGAGGUAGGCGGAAUGCCUGGUGUAGCGGUGAAAUGCGUAGAUAUUAGGAGGAACACCAGUGGCGAAGGCGGCUUACUGGACUGUAACUGACGUUGAGGCUCGAAAGCGUGGGGAGCAAACAGGAUUAGAUACCCGGGUAGUC